rnacentral:lncRNA from 1 species
UGAAUAAAUUGGUACUUACUUCUUACAGAUAUAAGUCUGUGUGUGGAGGAUGCCUCCAGUGAAACAGGUGAACUCGCUAUAUUCCUGCUGCCUGAAGUCUGUAAUUCAACAGUUAAAUCUGAUCUACGAGAAAAAAAGCAACAGGAAGCAGUUUCAUAAGAAGUUUUCAAACUGACCGAUCCAUACUCCUAAAUGAUUUACAUGGCGGAAUCGUCAAGAUUACUCAAGCUUGCUGUAGACUUAUACAGAAAUGAUAUUUGGAGAAUACUAAGUUUUAUCAAACUUUUGGGAGACAUGUCUAUUCGUAAACUCGCACCAUGCCACAAGGAUGAUCAACUAUUGCUUUGUCAAUGGACCAAGUUGGUUUCUUGCCUGAAAUCUUCAGACAUUACGGCCUUGAAGAAUUAGUUUUAAAGGUUUGUCUUCAGAAUUUUAAGGUUUUCUUCUACAAUUGGACGUAUUUAUGCUAUAAGGAACUAUGUUGCACGUCAACCCUAUGCACAUAGUUCGUUUUAGCAUAAAUACAUCCAAUUUUAACUGUGAUUGGUGGUUACAUUUUAACAGUGUGAUGGCUGCUAGAAUGGAAAUUGAUAAAACAUAACAGUUGAAUGGGCCUGUUGCAAACUUUGACAAGAGCGAAAAUAAAGAGUUAUUACUUAUAGAAAAUGUCUCAAAAGUCUUCAAAGGUGAUGAGCUCAUCGGCAAAAUCUAAAAUGCACCCCUUACUUCACAAUUUGCAUAAGAAAUUUGCGUUUUUUCGAGCUUCUCCCCUCAAGAACACUACCACGGUACAAGUGAACAUUUCGCUAGAGGAGUCAUUCCAUCGAACCACUGCUCACAAGGAUACUACGCAAUAUUCUACAUAGCCGUCGCCAAUCCGCCAAAACACACGUGACGGGACGAUGAUUCUAACCAUCUGAUAACUAUCAGCGUGUUUACAUUCACAUUUUUCUCGUGUUGAUAGAUAUCCACCUUAAUUGACCUUGUGCUCUCCUCAACUUGCGCGCAGAAGCGUCGGCCAUGUUGAGCAGGGAUUGAAUGGAACAACUUCUCUAAAGAAAUGUUCACCUGCGCUGUAGUAUCCUUUUGAAGCGGAAAAUCUUAAAAAAAACGCAAAUUUCAUACGCAGAUUGUGAAGUUAGGAGUGCAUUUCAGAGUUUGCCGAUGCCCUCAUCGUGAUUUUUAAGACGUUAUCCGUAAGGAUCAUAAUCCACAAUCAGCUUAAGUAAAGCACUUGAAGUGAAGUAGUUAUUUUGACUGAAAUAAACAGUUAUAGUGAAAAAUAGCUUGAAUAUCAUUCUUCCUUUCAUCCUGUUCAAAACUCUUGCUUUCAGAUGCUGAGUAGAACAAAAUCUUCAAUCACUAAUCAAACUACCAGAAACAUAUAACAAUUAGGAAAAAAUCAGGGAAAUUAUGGGACACCCAAUGUAUUUUCAAGCAAGAUUUAUAUGCAAAUUCAUCUGUGGAUGAGCAGGUGACGCAGAAAAUAUUGACUUGAAGAUCUUACAGUGCUCCCUAGUUGUAUGAAUUUGCCAAGCAACAUUUAAUUUUUAAUACUUUUGUUUCAGGUGAAGAAUAAUGGAGAGUUAUUUCAGCGCCCAAAAUUUGAACAUAGCUAUCUGUUACUGUACAAAUCCCUCCAAGCUGGCUUAUCCAAGUCCUUGCAUACGUUGAUAUUGCGUUCAACCUGCAACAAUCAAGUGCUUUCAAUCCUAGGGAAAGAAUCAAUUCAACUGACACAUCUAGACAUCUCUAAUUCAUGGCUUGUUGACGACCUUGGAAUCAGAAACUUACUUUUGAGAGUAAGUGGCUAAGUACUUAUAUGUUGUAAAAGAACAAAUUUCGAAAUCAAAGUUUCAGAUCAAAACCAGUCAGAAAUUCGUUGAUCAGUGAUAUGAUGAGUGAUGCCCUUUUGUUAAUAUUUAUGGUGUCUAUUAUCAGUGAUAACUAGAAAAUAUCAGGAAAUUCAUUGUCAUC